CCAACCAUGGCGAGGAGGGCUGCCAAGAAACCGCUCCCGACAGCUGCUACUACGGGCACACCUGGACGGCCACAACCUUCAGAGCCAACUCAGGUCACGGUGCUGCAGCUGUGUGCAAAGGCCUCCCGUGUCCUCUGCACUCCUGCCGGAAGACGGCAGUGAGGAGGAUGUGGCUAAAUGCAUGAGCCCACACCCCACCCUCACCUAAAGGACUCUCCUUACCUUUAACCUGAGGGAGCUUCUAAAGCCAGAGACCGACCACGGCAAAGGAAUCAAACUGUGGGUCAGAGGCUCGUGCUCUAAGCCUGUCCUUUCACCCUACCCGAAGUGGAAAGCCGCCUAGCAGUCCAUGAACCCAGAGAAGGAUGGGUGCUGCAGGUGCCACGUGUCCACCAGGCGGAGGAGACCCAGCUGGGCUCAGCAGGAGCCGUGGACUCUCAGCCACUGGAAAACCACACCACCUUUCUUGAGGUCUGCAGGGUGUCCCCUGAAAGGCAUACCCUGAGACUAGAAAGAACACUUGGCAACCCCUCCCAAACCGGCCCCUCACUGUUAACUGGGCCACACUUCAGCCAACACUUGACCUUCAUUCUGUCUCUUACUAAGUCACCAAGGCUUGAUGCUGGCCCACACAUCCCUCUAGACAAGCUGGUAGACAUGACAAGAUUCAGACAGGUCUCUUUCUUGCCAUCCCAAGGUCAGUUCACAUAAGACCAACCGGCCACAUGGAAACCAUCAUUGGGGCCACCUUUACUCCUAACACACAAGCCCAACUCUACUGCUGUCCUGGUUUACUAAUUCUCCCUACCCACCUCGGAAAGGUCAUUCACAGGAGGAACCAGGCAGGGUACCCUGCCCCCCCAGGCCGGCCAAGCUGGCUAGCAAGCUCUUCCUCCAGGAUUCACACCCCCCCCCCCCCGCAACAAAACCAUGACACAAGCCACCUGAGACAGAUAAGUCACCAGGCACGUGGAAGAGAUAUGGGUGGCAUCUCCUGGUCCAGAGAGGAUCAAGGCUCUUAGCUGGUUCAGAGUCCUCUUAGGACCUAUACCGUAGUGCCCUAAACUGAGUAAACGGGAAACUGAGGCAGGGUCUAAGGCGAGCUGAGUAACAGAGCCCAAGCACCACUGAGUUCAGGCAUUCAUCUCUCUUGGAGGUGGGGGAAGGGUGGGAGACGAGGCGAGUCUUGUGGAGUUGGGAGCUGGUAGCACCUCAUCCCACUGACAGUGAUGACCAAGGACACAGGCUAGGCCACAGUGACUAAAUCGGACGGACACCAGUCUAGGACUGCUCCGACAGCCUCCACCAGAGAUGAUUCUGAUGUGCCUGAAGUAUGAGGAGACACUCAGGCCCAGGGGACAGCAUCUGAUCGAUGACUGGACUUGGGAGAAAGGAUGGCAGGAGGCGAGUGUCAACACCUAGGUAGCAAUGUUCAAGCAGACCAGGAAGGGGCACUCCAGGGAUGGACCAGGUCUGGGGGAUCCAUAGACUACAUGUCACUCACCCCACCCCAGACUCUAGAAACACACCUGGCCCACAGUGGCACCCAGACUAACAGAGGCUGACCAGCUUACAAACCACCAUCGAGACCACUUCGAGAGCCACAGUUACGGCAGAGGGGCAGCCCACACUGCUCAUGCUUGGUGCACAAGCGGAACUGUCCCGGGUCAAGCCCCAACUAACAGUAGAGACACUGGUUCCAUUACAGUUAUGUAACAGUCUAGAAACCUCCCUCCGGAGGCUUCUGCCACACACACAAUCUGUUCCUUGACACCUGCCUCAGAAAGUUCUACAAGCAAGCAGUGGAGAAUCAGCAGAAGAAACCGGCCUCCCCCAGGUCUGUAGUGCAUGCUCAUGACUCCCACCCCAAACCAGGUGAAACAAGUUGCAGGAUGCGCAACCGUUACAAUGUUACAAUGUACCACACACUCGGCAGAGUAUCGGUCCCCUAAGAAGUUACCUCACACGAGUCUCAGGGUCUAGCAACCCAAGGAGCCAACAUAAACUGGGUUGUCAGCAGAUCCAGCUCCCUGAGAAGGCCUGAGGGGAGGGGGGUUUCGAUGUCUUUUAGAUCCGCAGGAACUGAGGCAAGCCAAGCUCACCAGUCUUGAAACGCACAAAGUACACACAAAUAUUUUGUUCUAGAGGCUCAGAAAAGCCAACGGGUUGAAUGAAUAGCUUCACACAAGAGCAGUCACACCUGAGGCAAUUCCAAACCAACGCCCCCACCUUGCUGUCACUGGGGACAUUAAACCCUAAAGGUCCUCUGGGAUGUGUGGAAAAUUUCUAAAUGAAAAUGACACCUUCCCGUGAGUACACAGGAAAGAAUUCUGCGUGCCAUCAAGCAGCUUUUUAGAAUCCCCAGGUGAUGCUCUGCUAACGUCCGCCCAGAAUUAAAACGUACUAGGUAACCUCAACACACACAGCACCCCACUUCUCAAUCUCACCUGAUGGCUAAGCUGUAUCACUAUCAAAAACCUACUGUCUCCAAAAAAAGGAAGGAAAAAAAAAUACCUUCAACCUGACCACACUAAAAUACACGAUUUAACUUAUCGGCAA